rnacentral:lncRNA from 1 species
CUUGAACUCAACGCGAUGAGCACAUCUGUUUGUCCUCAUUAAGUGCAGCGUAGCGGGCGCUAACCGACGUGCACAGGCAGCGGGCUGGGGCAGGGCCAGGGAGCCAGGAACAGGGCAGGAGAGCUGAGCUCUGCCCGCAGCCGCCCAAGAGGAGCUCUGCAGCCUGGGGAGAUCAGCUGCCUGCCUCUCUGAGACCACUGCCAGCAGGGGGUACAGCUGCCAAUAGCCCAAGAUCAUCCAAACGAAAGAGAGAGCCUCUGUCUAUCUUACAUUUGGAGAAAUCUGGGAAAGGAUUCAAACUGGUCAGGUAAACAUUUUCUCUCCUGAAGAGUCUUGUGGUCAAGAGAAUAAAAAGUCUUCCUUGUUGGGGCUGGCCCCGUGGCCGAGUGGUUAAGUUCGCGCGCUCCGCUGCAGGCGGCCCAGUGUUUCGUUGGUUCGAAUCCUGGGCGCGGACAUGGCACUGCUCAUCAGACCACGCUGAGGCAGCGUCCCACAUGCCACAACUAGAAGAACCCACAACGAAGAAUACACAACUAUGUACCGGGGGGCUUUGGGGAG